UCUGUGAAAAAAAUCAUAGAUUCUGAAAAGAAAAUCGAGGCAUCUUUCAACCAAUGUUUCGUAACGUCAACGGUGCAUCUUAGCGUGAAAAACAACGGCUUCUUAUCCGCUCGGAAUUACUAGAGAAUUUUCGAUGCACAAACUGCAGGCUCACUACUGUCGUUGUUUUUAUUACUCCGAGUUUCAAAUACUCGAUAUUUGCUCACGUGAGUUUGAUCCUGGGGAGUGGAGCACCGCGAGGAUGACUAGACCGAUCAACUUCAUCGUCGGCGUAACGCUUCUCAGCAUUGUGCACGAACUUGUAUUUUUCCUCCCGUUCACUCGAGCAUACGCACCUCUCGGAUUCCUCGAAUCGUUCUUUGCCCUGGACGAGAGCCUGCUUCGAUAUACGAGAGAGUAAACACUGGAAUCCUCGAGAAUAUUUUUCAAUCUGCUGUGACUUUGAGGAUCUGAAGUUUCUUCGGUAAAGGUGUGAACAUUUAUGAAAGCCCAAGUCUGCGCGGAGAGGCGAGAGAGUCUUCUGAAAACCAGUUAUCCGGCAGGUUUCUGCUCGUUUUUUUUUGUUUUCUAAUUUGAGUUUAAACCGUAUUGUUGUAGUUCGAACCACUUACAUCCUUCUGGUCACAAAAGUUGCUCCGAACGAAAGAAAUGCGUUGAAGACGAGAAAGAGGGAGGAGAGACAGGAGGAGGGAGAGAAAGAGAUGAAAAAGCCAAGAGCGUUCAUCUAUGACGACGAAUCGCUUAUCACGCAACGAAUAACUCAUUAAAAUGCGAUGUGACACUCCGGGGAGCAACGAUGCGGGAAAGAUCUGCUGCCAUCUGUGUCGCAGCCUUGACUGAGAACGCUCUUUCGUCUCUGGUUCGGAGAGACUGCUGCAUUUUUGCAUUUUAUAUCGAGAGAAUAAAACGCAUUAGCAUAGCGGCGACAUUGAAUUCCGUAGCUGCGAACGAACGCGUCUACGCUACAUCGAUUGAAUGAAUUUUAAGCGGAUUGAAAAACAGUGUUGUAAACAUUCGCUAAUUAUUUUAUUUUAUUGUAUUUAUUUUUCGACCAUUCGAUCGUUUCGGGCAGAUUCAGUUAACAGGGAAAAUUGGGUCUAAAAAUAAAAAAGCAGCGCAACGUAUCUGUGGGAAUGAAACUUCAAAAUUAACAUGUUUAUUCAUACACGAUUGUGGAGUCAUUUUUACAACUUUAAUAGCCGAUUAAGAAAAUUAUGAGAUGGCGAAGUGCGUCGGUGCGCGCAAAUAAGAGAAUGUAGAAACGAAGGCCUCUUUAAAUUACGGGAAAUAAUUAAAAUGAUUUGAAAAAUU